AUUGAACGCUGGCGGAAUGCUUUACACAUGCAAGUCGAACGGCAGCACGGGUGCUUGUACCUGGUGGCGAGUGGCGAACGGGUGAGUAAUACAUCGGAACGUACCCUGAUGUGGGGGAUAACGUAGCGAAAGUUACGCUAAUACCGCAUACGUCCUGAGGGGGAAAGCAGGGGAUCGCAAGACCUUGCGCGUUAGGAGCGGCCGACGGCAGAUUAGCUAGUUGGUGGGGUAAAGGCCUACCAAGGCGACGAUCUGUAGCGGGUCUGAGAGGACGACCCGCCACACUGGAACUGAGACACGGUCCAGACUCCUACGGGAGGCAGCAGUGGGGAAUUUUGGACAAUGGGCGAAAGCCUGAUCCAGCCAUUCCGCGUGAGUGAAGAAGGCCUUCGGGUUGUAAAGCUCUUUCGGCAGGGAAGAAACGGUUUUGGAUAAUACCCAGAGCUAAUGACGGUACCUGAAGAAGAAGCACCGGCUAACUACGUGCCAGCCGCCGCGGUAA
rnacentral:rRNA from 1 species